CCUACGGGAGGCAGCAGUAGGGAAUUUUCGGCAAUGGGGGGAACCCUGACCGAGCAACGCAGCGUGAACGAAGAAGUUAUUCGUAAUGUAAAGUUCUUUUAACAGGGAAGAAAGAGAAAUUUGGCGGUACCUGAAGAAUAAGCUCCGGCUAACUACGUGCCAGCAGCCGCGGUAAUACGUAGGGAUCGAGCGUUAUACGGAAUUAUUGGGCGAAAGGGGUGCGUAGAUGGCAUAGAAAGUCGUUUGUAAAAAUGCUGGGCUCAACCCAGUAGGGCAAAAGAUACUGGAAAACUAGAGUAUGACAGAGGCAAGUGGAACUACAUGUGUAGCGGUAAAAUGCGUAAAUAUAUGUAAGAACACCAGUGGCGAAGGCGGCUUGCUGGGUCGAUACUGACAUUGAGGCACGAAAGCGUGGGGAGCAAACAGGAUUAGAUACCCUUGUAGUC
rnacentral:rRNA from 1 species